GAUGAACGCUGGCGGCGUGCCUAAUACAUGCAAGUCGAACGAGGUGCUUUUGUAGCAAUACGAGAGUAUCCUAGUGGCGAACGGGUGAGUAACGCGUGGAUGACCUGCCCCAAAGUGUGGGAUAACAGUCCGAAAGGAUUGCUAAUACCUCAUGUGGUUAUCGGUUUUAGAAAGCGAUAACUAAAGCAGCAAUGCGCUUUGGGAGGGGAUCUGCGUCCCAUCAGCUAGUUGGUGAGGUAACGGCUCACCAAGGCGACGACGGGUAGGGGACCUGAGAGGGUGGCCCCCCACAAUGGAACUGAAACAACGGUCCAUACACCUACGGGUGGGCAGCAGUAGGGAAGUAUUGCACAAUAGGGCGGAAAGACCUGAUGCAGCAACGACCG
rnacentral:rRNA from 1 species